GGAGUAGUGAGAGCAACGGAGCUGACAAGAAGGCGUGGGUGUCAUUAUGUCUCUUCCAACUUUGUUCCUGCCCACAGCUGUGGACUGGAUGCCCUUCCUCAGCUGGGCAGGGCCGAGAGUAUAUGGAAGAGUGGUACGCGUCUUCUUCUGCCCAAACCGGUGACUUUGCGAACCCACCUGAAGGGCCUCACUAUUGUUUAUACAAAUCCACAAAGACAAAAGAAAAACAAAAACUAGCACUGACUUCGUACUUUAUUCUUUUGUCAUGGAGUCAAAAUGCUUGCCUUUUUCAAAAAGCAGCAUGAGGACUGUGUCUUAAGGAACAGUGAAGAUACUCCUUUUUUUUUCGAAUUCUCCAUAUUUUACUCUGCAAGAGAAAUGAAGGGGAAAAUAUAUGUUGUGUUACAAGAUGAAGAACUCAAACUUGUCAUGAAGUUGGUGGAAAAUACAACAUCUGUUUCCGUGCUCUGGCCAUCCCUCAGUUACCACAACACCUUCCUAUUGCAGUUCUUUGACUAGCAAAGAGAAGCUUGAGAACCAAGAAGAAUACUUUCUUGUCCAAUUAGAAGCAAAAAUUUCGAUGAAUUCCAUCCCAUAGUAACAAAUUCAAUUAUUUACUCAUGGAUUCACUUAAGAAUUCUUUCUGGGACACAUCCCAAGUCCCAGGUACUGGAUUAUCUGCUGUGGAGAAUCAGGGCUAACUGAGACAUUGUCGCUGGACUUGUGGAGCCCAUAAUCUGGUGAGGAGGGCAAGAUGUGUACACCAGCACUGUGGAUACAGGGCAGAGAGAGCAAUAAACAAGAUAUUGGCUAGGUGCUUUGGGGAGCAGAGAAGAAGAAGCCAGAUCUGGGAAUCAUAAGGAAAAGCUUUGUCUAAAUAUACAAAAUCCAAGAAGUCAAGACAUUAGGUGCUAGAACUCUUCCAGGAACAAUUUCAUCCCCCUAUGUUGGAGAGGACACGGCCGAGAACGAGCAUCUGGGCAUUCUGACCAGAAGAAUGUCCACAGUCAUUGCCACAUUACCAAACAGAAUAGAGCGGUGGAUCUCAAGGCCCCUGGAGUAGGGAUAGAAGGUCAGAAUUGGAGAGCAUGCUCCAGAGAGAAUCUACUAGAAGACCAACCCAGCCAUCUGUAAGCCACUUGAGAAAUAGUCAAACUAGACAGCUUUGAAAAGACACAUUCUCAGCUGCUCAAGCAGGCAGGCAGACCAGCCUCAGCUGACUCUGGGAGACAAAUCAGUCACAGAUGCAUUCUGACAUUCCAGGUGCAUUUUGGUCAGAGGAGUAACCUGUCACUUGACACAGUUGAGGUUGAGGCAUAGCAACUAGCACUUUCUCUUUACUGGAGCUGAUGCAGCACCCAAGCCAAAGUGCUCCCCUUCUCUGCAUGUGCCUGGGAGACACCCAAAUCACUGUAUUGCCUAAAUCUCAGACCUCUCAGAUAAUGUUGGGUGCCUCUCAGGGCCAAGACUAGGAUGAAGCCAGUGAGGCACAUUGGAUGCAAAAUACAGGAUGCUUACUGCCAGGUGCCCAUCCUACACCCUGAGAGAGUGCUUCCUUAAAUCCACCUUUCCCCAAAGAGUGGUGUCCAAAUUCUAAGAAGAGGAAGGGCUUCAACAAUUCUAGGACAGGUAGAUAUUUGCCGUCAGAGGGAAGUGUAGGGCAAUGAGUAGUCUCGUCAAUUUCCCAAGGAUCUAUGAUUAAAAUUUCCCAUUGACUGAGUACCAAGGGCCAUAGUAUUCCUAACGCCUAGUCUAAAUAGGGCUCUUCUGAUUUCUUUUUUUAAAGGAAAGAUUUAAUUCAUCCUUUAAUUUACCACCUUCCAUGAGCCCCCUUCACAUCUCCCUAACUGAAAAUGUAGUUCACAGCUCCUUCUUGCUCCAUUCAUUCAAAGCAGAGAUUCAAAAUAUAUUCAAAAUGUGGGCCCUUCCCUCAGUGAUUCAUCACCAACAGCAAUUCACACCAUCAGAGAUUCACUCCGAGAAAAAGUUUCCAUGUAGGAUAUUUUUCUGAUUCUGUUGUUGUAACACCUGAGUCCUGCCAAGGAGUGCCAACUCUCAUGUUCAAACACUAUUUUAGGAUUAGUGUACAUUUACCACAAUGCCCUCUGGCUCACUCUCCUGAAUGAGGCUUGAAAUUGGCAAUCAUUUUUAUAAACAGAGCAAUAACCACAAAAUAUCCAACAAAUUAAAUAUAUGGUUUAACAACUACAUAAUCCAGGGAGAAAACAUAAACAUUAUUAUUUUCAUAAUACAUCUGAUUUUAUUUGUGAUCCAAUUUGCUUUAGCUUCAUUAUUUUCCUUAAAAAAAAUAAGGCUAGUAUUACCAUAAAUUUGUAUCCAUAUUUCUCUCUCAUUAAAUUCUUUUUCUUCUCUCUUCCUUCACACUAAAAAAAAAAUCCUAUUUGGGAAAGAGGAAAAAAAAUGAGAAAAUUGUUUAUAAGGCCAGAAAGAUAUAUUUCCUUUAUAUAGCACCACUACUUCAAAAGAAAUGGGUAGAUUUUCCUCAAAGGACAAGAGAAAAAGAACUAAAUAUGUUAUAUUUCACAGAACCACACAUUUUUAGAUACAAGAUGAAUUACACCUGAGACAGAGCACAUUCCUUCCUUAACAUGUAAGUCAGAGAUUCUCACAAAACCUUUUUAAUAUAGCAGAGGAUGAACCCUGUGGCAAGAAGUCCCUCCAACCAGGCUUCCAAGCAGAGGCCAUUUUCCAGUAAACCUGCAGGCAACCCAGCAGACUCAGAAUUUAAAUGAAAAGCUCCAACAGCACAGAAAUGUGGGCCCUUCCCUCAGUGAUUCAUCACCAUCAGCAAUCAGGCAACUGUGUCCAGAGUCUGAGCAUAAAUUACUUCAUCACGGUCGACUGAAAGACCAUUGAGGUCUGAAUGCAAUUGAAGAACAAUUAGUUUACCUGUCACUUAAGAUGAACUUCAGGAUAUUUUAUACAGUUAAGAGCAAGAAGACAGAGGGGUAAUAAAAUAUUACAGUUUAUCCAACUAUAAUUUUAAGAGGAAUCUUCAAAUAUCUAAAGAAAUUUUUAGAUUUCUGAGACUGUUAAUCCUAUUCAAUAUGAAUAUGUUAAUAACAUACAUACAUCUCUAUGGAGAUAAGUAGAAGUUUGAG
ensembl:lncRNA